ensembl:lncRNA
GUUGGUGGGGGAGAGAAGAGUGGCAGGGAGACAGGUUGGUGGGGAAAGAAGAGUGGCAGGGAGAGGGAGACAGGUUGGUGGGGAGAGAAGAGUGGCAGGGAGAGGGAGACAGGUUGGUGGGGAGAGAAGAGUGGCAGGGAGAGGGAGACAGGUUGGUGGGGAAAGAAGAGUGGCAGGGAGAGGGAGACAGGUUGGUGGGGGAGAGAAGAGUGGCAGGGAGAGGGAGACAGGUUGGUGGGGAGAGAAGAGUGGCAGGGAGAGGGAGACAGGUUGGU